UCGCCCUUUCAAGGUUGAUGGAGUGCUUUAAGAGGCUAACACAGAAGGGUAGAGGAAACCUCCAUAUGACCCAGACAAGAGAUUGCAAAACUCCUCUUUGGAUCCUAUCUGGAGUUAGAGCA
ensembl:snoRNA